UACGAAGGGGGCUAGCGUUGCUCGGAAUCACUGGGCGUAAAGGGUGCGUAGGCGGGCCUUUAAGUCAGGGGUGAAAUCCUGGAGCUCAACUCCAGAACUGCCUUUGAUACUGAAGAUCUUGAGUUCGGGAGAGGUGAGUGGAACUGCGAGUGUAGAGGCGAAAUUCGUAGAUAUUCGCAAGAACACCAGUGGCGAAGGCGGCUCACUGGCCCGAUACUGACGCUGAGGCACGAAAGCGUGGGGAGCAAACAGG
rnacentral:rRNA from 1 species